AAUUUUGUGAUGACAUUUUACCGCCCCAGUCUGAUAUUUAGUGACUGAGUGGUAUAUUGUGACUGAGA